rnacentral:tRNA from 1 species
GAGAUGAAACAUUUUAACUUGCAAUUAAAUAAUAAAUCAUCAGU